GAUGGAUUGGUGCCUUCGGAACGUCUGACACAGGUGCUGCAUGGCUGUCGUCAGCUCGUGUCGUGAGAUGUUGGGUUAAGUCCGUAACGAGCGCAACCCUUGUCCUUAGUUACCAGCACGUUAUGGUGGGCACUCUAAGGAGACUGCCGGUGACAAACCGGAGGAAGGUGGGGAGUGACGUCAAGUCAUCAUGGCCCUUACGGCCUGGGCUACACACGUGCUACAAUGGUCGGUACAAAGGGUUGCCAAGCCGCGAGGUGGAGCUAAUCCCAUAAAACCGAUCGUAGUCCGGAUCGCAGUCUGCAACUCGACUGCGUGAAGUCGGAAUCGCUAGUAAUCGUGAAUCAGAAUGUCACGGUGAAUACGUUCCCGGGCCUU
rnacentral:rRNA from 1 species